rnacentral:tRNA from 1 species
AGAGAGAUGCCGGAGCGGUCGAUCGGGCUCGCCUGGAAAGCGAGUAUACCCCCAAAGGGUAUCGGGGGUUCGAAUCCCCCUCUCUCUGCCA